rnacentral:rRNA from 1 species
AACGAACGCUGGCGGCAUGCCUAACACAUGCAAGUCGAACGAAACCUUCGUGUCUAUUUGCGCACGUGUGCGUACCACGUGGUAACCUGCCCUUAGGUUCGCAAUCACUCCCCGAAGGAGAUGCUAAUACCGCUUAAUCUCUUCCCACCAAAGAUUUAUCGCUUUUGGAUGGGGCCUCGUUAGAUUCGCGAGUUGGUAGGGUACAAGCCUACCAAGGCGUCGAUCCAUAGCUGGUCUGAGAGGAUGAUCAGCAACACUGGGACUGAGACACGGCCCAGACUGCGACGGGAGGGAGGAGAGGGGAAUAUUGGACAAGGGGGGAAAGUCUGAUCCAGCAAUGUCGGGGGAGAGAUGAAGGCGGUAGGGUAGUAAAGCUCCUUGAGCCGGGAUGAUAAUGACAGUACCGGGAGAAUAAGCGCCGGCUAACUACGUG